rnacentral:ncRNA from 1 species
CACAAGCAGUGGCUUGGUUAAGGGAAGACAUCGAAGCCGUAGCGAAAGCGAAUCAUCAUAGGGCAAUUGUCACUGCUUGUGGACCCGAACCUGGGUGAUGUAUCUAUGACCAGGGUGAAGCUUGGGUGAAACUAAGUGGAGAUCCGACUGAUUGAUGCUGAAGAAUCAGCGGAUGAGUUGUGGUUAGGGGUGAAAUGCCAUUCAAAUCCAAAGCUAGCUAGCUCUUCCCAAAAUGUGUUGAGGCGCAACAGUUAACUAGAUGUCUGGGGUCAAAGUACUGCUUCAGUGUAGACCGUGAGAGCGGUACCAAAUUGUGAAAAACUCUUAAUACUAAAUAUGACUCCAAAAUAAUGAGGGUAAAAGUCAGCCAGUGAGAUGAUGGAGUAUAAGCUCCAUGGUCGAGAGGGAAUUAGCCCGGAUCACCAGCUAAGGCCCGUAAAUGACUGCUCAGUGAUGAAGGACAUUGGGGUACAUAAACAUCUUGGAGUAUCUACCGAUAGAGUAUGAGAAGUAAAUGGAAGGAAGUCAUGGAUAUUAGUUGCCAAUUGGUAGUUUCUUUCUAGCAUGUCUACAAGGAGGCAAAUGCGACAGCAAAACUUAACAAAAAUGGGACU